rnacentral:rRNA from 1 species
UACGGAGGGGGCGAGCGUUAUUCGGAAUUAUUGGGCGUAAAGGGCGCGUAGGCGGCUUGAUAAGUCAAAGGUGAAAUCCCUCGGCUCAACUGAGGAACUGCCUUUGAAACUGUCAGACUUGAGGCCGGGAGGGGGUAGCGGAAUUCCCAGUGUAGCGGUGAAAUUCGUAGAUAUCGGGAGGAACACCGGUGGCGAAGGCGGCGAUCUGGGUAGAUACUGACGCUGAUGCGCGAAAGCCAGGGGAGCGAACGGG